CUCCUGCAUUCUAAAAUCUAGAAAAAGGAGCUGACCAAGAAGACUGUCCUGAAGGAUAUUGCCAAACUCAGUCCCCACUACCAGACGUCCUCUUUGGAGGCGUUCCAUAGUGUCAUUCUGCGGUUCGCACCCAAAAACGUGGUCUACCCAUAUCUGGGAAUGCUGUGCAGACUGUAAAGAGGGGAUCCUCUUUACAAACUGAGCUUUCCAAAAUCCAGGAAGGGAGAGUGCAGAGCCAGACCAGUGAAGACAGACGCUACAUUCCGGUAUGUUGAUGAUUUGAUGGACAUGAUCAUGGAGAAAGUCUUUGUUGACCCAUCAUCGUAUGGAGAUGAGAUUCUGAAGAUAAACAUCCCGCCGGACCUGUCUUCACAAUAUGAGCAUCCAUAGCAAAACUUCUGUAGGCUUAAUACCUGUAACGACUGAGAAAAAUUAACAUUGCUAGUCAACAGGUUUUAUAAUGUAUGUCUAAUUUGGAAUCAGUGAAUCAUUCAAUACUGUAUUUUUAUGUACAAUGACAGUGGUAAAUAAAUGUUUAUUGCAUGU